AAACGAUUCAACGGACGCUCUCUCUCCCGCAUGAGAACGAGAGACGCCUGGCGCUAGGGUUCCCUUCGCCGCCACGCCCCAUCCCUCAGCACCCGGCAACCCUCGCUACUCUCUCCCAUCCCCUUGCAGUCGCCGUCGUAGUCCCCCGCCGUUGGUCAGGGCAGAGACAGCUUCUUUCGCGCGGCGAGGUGGAGCAAGGUCAACGCGGCGGCUCGAGCGGCUGGGGGUGGCACGGCUGAUCGAUGUAGAGCAGCGGGGGCGGCUGGAUCGACGGUGGCGGCUAGAUCUUGCAGAACGGCACCGCUGGAGGUCAACGCGGUGGCUUGAGCGGCUGGCGGCGGCGCGGCUGCUCGAGGUGGAUCAGCGGUGGCGGCUGGAGCUUUUAGAACGGCAGCGGCGGAGGCUGGAGCUUGUAGAUCGGCGGGCCAACCUGAGCAACAGCUCCAAGGAGGACGCCACCAGGUGCCUGGUCUGGCUGGGGGACCUCAUCGACGCCAAGAAGUUGGGAGGCAGUGCUGCUGGCAGCGACAGGCUGCACCUCCCUGUCGCCGGCGUGGCUACUGCAGGUCCAAAGACACAGUGUACUAUGCUCAUGCAUAUGUGACAUAAACCAAUUCUGCAUUAUGCUGCUCAGUGCUCGCAAAUACUGCAAAAUUACUAGGCCUAGGAGAUUUGAGCAUUUGUGAAGGUUUUGGGACACGAAGCCCCAUUGAAGGUUUUGAAUUUUCAAAGCUUCAAAGAUGUUGCAGCUGUGACAAACAAUUUUCACCCAUCACAUAUGAUCGGACAAGGUGGUUUUGGCAACGUCCAAUGUCGCCGCCGUGGAGUUCACUGGAAGAAGAACAUCGGUCGAGCAUUCCAAUGUCACCUCCGCCAAGUUCGCCACCGAGCCAUCCAAUGUCGCCUCUGCUGAGUUCGCCGGAGGAAGAACAUCCGCCGUCCGAACGUGCUACACCAGAGAUGCUCCUUCAGCUAAUAUUAUUACGACUGGAGCGGCAGGCAUGUCCAUAUUCGGUGCUGCCAGCGGCAAGCAAUACAGGAAGGAUUUUAUUAAUAUGGCAUUAAGCGCACUUUACAAAUAGCAGCUCAUUACAGCAAGUCUAGCCUGAUGGUGUGCCUUCAAAUUCAGACUCCUGUGCACUUUGAGUAUUCUGCAUGGAUGAAAUGAAGGCGUGGUCUGGAUAGCAGCUAAGAUUGGCCGGAUAGCCCACGGACCUGCUUUAGUAACAUCAGGUUCUACAACAGCUGAGGCAAGCACGACAGAGUCUGUCAAAAACUUCAGAUCCUACACAUGUAGUUGAGCUGCAAUCUUCACCACCAACAGCAGUCCAUAAGCUUCUACCUGCAGAGCUGAUGCUACUGGUGGCGACACAGCAGAGAUGUAUACAUGUUCGGUAUGUUGCCCGUUAAUUUGUAAGAAAACACCUAUGUCCGCCUUUGCUACAGCUUCUCCUGGCUCCAACGACCAAGCUGCAUCUGAGUAUAUUUGUGUACCUAAAAAAUCUAUUGUAGACUGAGAAGUAACAACACUAGAGAGCUUUAGCUAUUCUGGCUGACUGUGAUCUCCCUUCCGAGUUGAAUCAGGAACCUGUAACUCCUUAAUCAGUAAAAUGUACAAUGUACAAUGCACAAUAUCAAACUGUUCUUAUCUUUCUCA